ACGGCUACCUUGUUACGACUUAGCCCCAGUCACCGGUUUUACCUUAGGGCGCUCCUUGCGGUUGCACACUUCAGGCACUCCCGGCUUCCAUGGCUUGACGGGCGGUGUGUACAAGGCCCGGGAACGUAUUCACCGCGCCGUGGCUGAUGCGCGAUUACUAGCGAAUCCAGCUUCAUGGAGUCGGGUUGCAGACUCCAAUCCGAACUGAGACAGGCUUUGAAGUUCCGCUCUGCGUCGCCGCAUCGCUUCUCUCUGUACCUGCCAUUGUAACACGUGUGUCGCCCCGGACGUAAGGGCCGUGCUGAUUUGACGUCAUCCCCGCCUUCCUCACAACUUGCGCCGGCAGUCUCGCCAGAGUCCCCAACUUUACUUGCUGGUAACUGGCGAUGGGGGUUGCGCUCGUUAUGGCACUUAAGCCGACACCUCACGGCACGAGCUGACGACAACCAUGCAGCACCUCGACGGAUGUCCCGUAGGACUGCCUCCUUUCAGAAACAUCCAUCCGUCGUUUGAGCCCGGGUAAGGUUCCUCGCGUAUCAUCGAAUUAAACCACAUGUUCCUCCGCUUGUGCGGGCCCCCGUCAAUUCCUUUGAGUUUCACCGUUGCCGGCGUACUCCCCAGGUGGAAUACUUAACGCUUUCGCUGUACCACCC
rnacentral:rRNA from 1 species